UGCAGUCGAACGAGUUCUCGUUGAUGAUCGGUGCUUGCACCGAGAUUCAACAUAGAACGAGUGGCGGACGGGUGAGUAACACGUGGGUAACCUGCCCUUAAGUGGGGGAUAACAUUUGGAAACAGAUGCUAAUACCGCAUAGAUCCAAGAACCGCAUGGUUCUUGGCUGAAAGAUGGCGUAAGCUAUCGCUUUUGGAUGGACCCGCGGCGUAUUAGCUAGUUGGUGAGGUAAUGGCUCACCAAGGCGAUGAUACGUAGCCGAACUGAGAGGUUGAUCGGCCACAUUGGGACUGAGACACGGCCCAAACUCCUACGGGAGGCAGCAGUAGGGAAUCUUCCACAAUGGACGCAAGUCUGAUGGAGCAACGCCGCGUGAGUGAAGAAGGCUUUCGGGUCGUAAAACUCUGUUGUUGGAGAAGAAUGGUCGGCAGAGUAACUGUUGUCGGCGUGACGGUAUCCAACCAGAAAGCCACGGCUAACUACGUGCCAGCAGCCGCGGUAAUACGUAGGUGGCAAGCGUUAUCCGGAUUUAUUGGGCGUAAAGCGAGCGCAGGCGGUUUUUUAAGUCUGAUGUGAAAGCCCUCGGCUUAACCGAGGAAGCGCAUCGGAAACUGGGAAACUUGAGUGC
rnacentral:rRNA from 1 species